GGCUGCAGUCCAUGGGGUUGCUAAGGGUCUGAAAUAACUGAGCAACUUCACUUUCACUUUUCACUUUCAUGCGUUAGAGAAGGAAAUGGCAACCCACUCCAGUGUUCUUGCCUGGAGAAUCCCAGGGACAGAGGAGCCUGGUGGGCUGCCGUCUAUGGGGUCGCACAGAGUCAGACACGACUGAAGCAACUUAGCAGCAGCAGCAGCAGCAGCAGCAGUCUGGAGUUCACUAGAUAAAGAGAUUCAGCUUCAAAGACGCUUGUGUGCUGCUGUAGCUUCAACCAAGAAAGAGUAUCGUGAAAAUACAAACUCAACCAACCAGACCUCAUUCAGGACAAAUUCACCAGAAUGUAGUACAGAGAGGGGAGAAAAUUGCCUGCAUUUCAAGCCACAGACCCUCUGAAUCAACAUGGGUAAAUACUUCCACUUUUUUUGUGUCAUAUGAAGACAAGAAAAGUUCUCAGUCC
rnacentral:lncRNA from 1 species